UACCUGGUUGAUCCUGCCAGUAGCAUAUGCUUGUCUCAAAGAUUAAGCCAUGCAUGUCUAAGUACAAGCCGCUAGACGGCGAAACCGCGAAUGGCUCAAUAAAUCAGUUAUGGUUCCUUAGAUCCACUCCAUCCUACUUGGAUAACUGUGGUAAUUCUAGAGCUAAUACAUGCACUCGAGCCUCGACUGCGGGCUUUCGGGCUCGCAGAAGAGGUGCUUUUAUUAGAUCAAAACCAGUCGGGGCCGGGCUUUCGGGCUCGCGCACCGUACCAAUUUUGGUGACUCUGGAUAACUUCACGCCGAUCGCACGGCCUUCGCGCCGGCGACGUAUCUUUCAAAUGUCUGCCUUAUCAACUGUCGAUGGUAGGUUACGCGCCUACCAUGGUUGCAACGGGUAACGGGGAAUCGGGGUUCGAUUCCGGAGAGGGAGCCUGAGAAACGGCUACCACAUCCAAGGAAGGCAGCAGGCGCGCAAAUUACCCACUCCCGGCACGGGGAGGUAGUGACGAAAAAUAACGAUACGGGACUCUUCCGAGGCCCCGUGAUUGGAAUGAGUACACUUUAAAUCCUUUAACGAGGAACCAUUGGAGGGCAAGUCUGGUGCCAGCAGCCGCGGUAACUCCAGCUCCAAUAGCGUAUAUUAAAGUUGUUGCGGUUAAAAAGCUCGUAGUCGGAUGUCUGUCUUCGGCCGGGCGGCGCCGCUCUGAAUCAAGGGUGUUGCGUUUCACGCUCUGGGAGCCCGGGUGUCAAAGCCCGACUCUCUUCACGGUCGGACAACAUCGCCGGAGUGGUGGUCGGUGCGUCGUUGUUGUAUCUGCGGCCAGAGUUGGAAAGUUCUUUCGGGUUCUUUUUUAAAUUUUGGUCGUAGUUGACUCGAUUCGCUCCACCCAGUCAAUCGUUCGGGGUGCCCUUCACCGGGUGUCUCGGGCGGCCGGCAACGUUUACUUUGAACAAAUUAGAGUGCUCAAAGCAGGUGUAUCCCAACGCCUGAAUAUCGCAGCAUGGAAUGAUGGAAUAGGACCUCGGUCCGAUUUUGCUGGUCUUUUACUUUUGGACCCGAGGUAAUGGUCAAUAGAGACGGACGGGGGCAUUCGUACUGCGGCGACAGAGGUGAAAUUCUUGGACCGCCGCAAGACGAACAACAGCGAAGGCAUUUGCCAAGAAUGUUUUCCUUGAUCAAGAACGAAAGUUAGAGGUUCGAAGGCGAUCAGAUACCGCCCUAGUUCUAACCAUAAACGAUGCCAACCAGCAAUCCGUCGGAGUUACUCCAAUGACUCGACGGGCAGCUUCCGGGAAACCAAAGUCUUUGGGUUCCGGGGGAAGUAUGGUUGCAAAGCUGAAACUUAAAGGAAUUGACGGAAGGGCACCACCAGGAGUGGAGCCUGCGGCUUAAUUUGACUCAACACGGGAAACCUCACCAGGCCCGGACACUGGAAGGAUUGACAGAUUGAGAGCUCUUUCUUGAUUCGGUGGGUGGUGGUGCAUGGCCGUUCUUAGUUGGUGGAGCGAUUUGUCUGGUUAAUUCCGAUAACGAACGAGACUCUAGCCUGCUAAAUAGGUGACGGGUUUUAUCAAUUGAAACCGAAGGGAGUACGGAGGCGUCGGGAUCAGGUGGCGGCGAUUCGGGUCUCGGUGGGACUGGUUCCUUUAGUGAGGCAAUCUCUCGGCUUGGUUUCGUUGUGCUUUGUUCGUCGGGUGUACGGCCUUCACGGGUUGGUUGCCUGGCGGAUGAGGUAUGGCGGGGCUUUGUCGGGAAUGUCUCGCGGGGGCUGGCUCUAUUGUUAUUCGGUCGUCGUCAUCCCCGGCGAUACCUUCUGCUCUCGCGUCCGUCACGCAGUCUUCUUAGAGGGACAAGCGGCGUCCAGCCGCGUGACAGUGAGCAAUAACAGGUCUGUGAUGCCCUUAGAUGUCCUGGGCCGCACGCGCGCUACACUGAAGGAAUCAGCGUGUUUCACUCUCCCUGUCCGAAAGGACCGGGUAACCGCUGAACCUCCUUCGUGGUUGGGAUUGGGGACUGCAAUGAUCCCCAUGAACCAGGAAUCCCUAGUAGGCGCGGGUCACUAGCCCGCGUCGAUUACGUCCCUGCCCUUUGUACACACCGCCCGUCGCUACUACCGAUUGAAUGAUUUAGUGAGGCCUUCGGACGGGCUUGUCGGGGUGCCGUCGAGUGGGGGAGCAAUCUCUGCCCGUGCGGUGCCUACCAACGGCGAGACUGAAAGAUGGUCGAACUUGAUCCUUUAGAGGAAGUAAAAGUCGUAACAAGGUUUCCGUAGGUGAACCUGCGGAAGGAUCAUAA
rnacentral:rRNA from 1 species